CAGGGAUUGCCUCAGUAACGGCGAGUGAAGCGGCAACAGCUCAAAUUUGAAAGCUGGCUCCUUUGGGGGCCCGCGUUGUAAUUUGUAGAGGAUGCUUCGGGUGCGGCGCCGGUCUAAGUUCUUUGGAACAAGACGUCAUAGAGGGUGAGAAUCCCGUAUGUGACUGGUUGCCUGNGCCCGUGUGAAGCUCCUUCGACGAGUCGAGUUGUUUGGGAAUGCAGCUCAAAAUGGGUGGUAAAUUUCAUCUAAAGCUAAAUAUUGGCCAGAGACCGAUAGCGCACAAGUAGAGUGAUCGAAAGAUGAAAAGCACUUUGGAAAGAGAGUUAAACAGUACGUGAAAUUGUUGAAAGGGAAGCGCUUGCAAUCAGACUUGCACGGCGUCGAUCAGCCUGGGUUCUCCCUGGUGCACUCGGCGCCGUACAGGCCAGCAUCAGUUUCGACGGUGGGAUAAAGGCCUAGGGAACGUGGGUCGCCUCGGCGACCGUUAUAGCCCUAGGUGCCAUGCCGCCUGUUGGGACUGAGGACCGCGCUUCGGCUAGGAUGCUGGCGUAAUGGUUGUAAGCGACCCGUCUUGAAACACGGACCAAGGAGUCUAACAUCUAUGCGAGUGUUUGGGUGUCAAACCCAUACGGGUAAUGAAAGUGAACGGAGGUGAGAACCCUUAAGGGUGCAUCAUCGACCGAUCCUGAUGUCUUCGGAUGGAUUUGAGUAAGAGCAUAGCUGUUGGGACCCGAAAGAUGGUGAACUAUGCCUGAAUAGGGUGAACCCAGAGGAAACUCUGGUGGAGGCUCGCACCGGUUCUGACGUGCAAAUCGAUCGUCAAAUUUGGGUAUAGGGGCGAAAGACUAAUCGAACCNUUGAAAACCUAGCUGCUAGGUGGUUGGGAGGGCCUGAUUCACGGUCCUAGUCUCUCCGGAGGCGAUACUGCAAACUUGCGGGGACAGUUCGAGAGGUGCAGGCUUCCACAGCGGUCUCGAAAGGGCCCNCCACGGNAACAAGGCCUGCAGNUGAACCGAUCCCGCAGGCCAGCUCCUUUACACCUGGAUGCGGGUUCCAUCGACCUAGAUGGACAGUGGGUGUCACAGCCCUAAGGAAUAGUCAGGCAGCGGCAGCCAUGCCGC
rnacentral:rRNA from 1 species